GAGUCCCACCCGGUGCCCAGGAUGAGCCCCGAGCCCACCUGUCAGCUUCUGCAUUUCCUUGUGGUUCUUUGCUAGGUCAAGCUGGGCUCCGCGCUAGGGGGCCCCUACCUGGGAGUCCACCUGAGAAGAAAAGAUUUCAUCUGGGGUCACAGACAGGAUGUACCCAGUCUGGAAGGGGCCGUGAGGAAGAUCCGCAGCCUCAUGAAGACCCACCGGCUGGACAAGGUGUUUGUGGCCACAGAUGCCGUCAGAAAGGAAUAUGAAGAGCUAAAAAAGCUGUUACCCGAGAUGGUGAGGUUUGAACCCACGUGGGAGGAGCUGGAGCUCUACAAGGACGGAGGCGUUGCGAUUAUUGACCAGUGGAUCUGCGCACACGCCAGGUUUUUUAUUGGCACCUCAGUCUCAACAUUUUCUUUUCGGAUUCAUGAGGAAAGAGAAAUCCUGGGGUUGGACCCCAAGACGACGUACAACAGGUUCUGCGGAGACCAAGAGAAGGCGUGUGAGCAACCCACCCACUGGAAGAUCACCUACUGAGGAGGAUCCUCCGGGGCCGCUCCCCGGACCCGACAGGCGCGGGUGGAUGCAGGUUCUGUCGCCGUGGAGUCACCGUCUGCCG
rnacentral:sRNA from 1 species